rnacentral:rRNA from 1 species
AGUGAACGCUGGCGGUAGGCCUAACACAUGCGAGUCGAACGGCAGCACAGUAAGAGCUCGCUCUUACGGGUGGCGAGUGGCGGACGGGUGAGGAAUACAUCGGAAUCUACUUUUUCGUGGGGGAUAACGUAGGGAAACUUACGCUAAUACCGCAUACGACCUACGGGUGAAAGCAGGGGAUCUUCGGACCUUGCGCGAUUGAAUGAGCCGAUGUCGGAUUAGCUAGUUGGCGGGGUAAAGGCCCACCAAGGCGACGAUCCGUAGCUGGUCUGAGAGGAUGAUCAGCCACACUGGAACUGAGACACGGUCCAGACUCCUACGGGAGGCAGCAGUGGGGAAUAUUGGACAAUGGGCGCAAGCCUGAUCCAGCCAUACCGCGUGGGUGAAGAAGGCCUUCGGGUUGUAAAGCCCUUUUGUUGGGAAAGAAAAGCAGCAGGUUAAUACCCCGCUGUUCUGACGGUACCCAAAGAAUAAGCACCGGCUAACUUCGUG